rnacentral:rRNA from 1 species
GGGGUAAUGGCGGCAGCCUACACAUGCAGUCGAGCGGUAACAGGCCCUUCGGGGUGCUGACGAGCGGCGGACGGGUGAGUAAUGCAUAGGAAUCUGCCCGGUAGUGGGGGAUAACCUGGGGAAACUCAGGCUAAUACCGCAUACGUCCUACGGGAGAAAGCAGGGGACCUUCGGGCCUUGCGCUAUCGGAUGAGCCUAUGUCGGAUUAGCUGGUUGGUGAGGUAACGGCUCACCAAGGCGACGAUCCGUAGCUGGUCUGAGAGGAUGAUCAGCCACAUCGGGACUGAGACACGGCCCGAACUCCUACGGGAGGCAGCAGUGGGGAAUAUUGGACAAUGGGCGCAAGCCUGAUCCAGCCAUGCCGCGUGUGUGAAGAAGGCCCUCGGGUUGUAAAGCACUUUCAGUGGGGAAGAAAUCCUCGUGGCCAAUACCCGCGAGGGAGGACAUCACCCACAGAAGAAGCACCGGCUAACUCCGUGCCAGCAGCCGCGGUAAUACGGAGGGUGCGAGCGUUAAUCGGAAUUACUGGGCGUAAAGCGCGCGUAGGCGGCGUGAUAAGCCGGUUGUGAAAGCCCCGGGCUCAACCUGGGAACGGCAUCCGGAACUGUCAGGCUAGAGUGCAGGAGAGGAAGGUAGAAUUCCCGGUGUAGCGGUGAAAUGCGUAGAGAUCGGGAGGAAUACCAGUGGCGAAGGCGGCCUUCUGGACUGACACUGACGCUGAGGUGCGAAAGCGUGGGUAGCAAACAGGAUUAGAUACCCUGGUAGUCCACGCCGUAAACGAUGUCGACUAGCCGUUGGGGUCCUUGAGACCUUUGUGGCGCAGUUAACGCGAUAAGUCGACCGCCUGGGGAGUACGGCCGCAAGGUUAAAACUCAAAUGAAUUGACGGGGGCUCGCACAAGCGGUGGAGCAUGUGGUUUAAUUCGAUGCAACGCGAAGAACCUUACCUACCCUUGACAUCCUCGGAAGCCGACAGAGAUUGUUGGUGUGCCUUCGGAGCGAGUGACAGGUGCUGCAUGGCCGUCGUCAGCUCGUGUUGUGAAAUGUGGGUUAAGUCCGUAACGAGCGCAACCUUGUCCCUAAUUUGCCAGCGAAUCGGUCGGGAACUCUAAGGGAGACUGCCGGUGACAACCGGAAGGAAGGUUGGGACAACUUCAGGUCAUCAUGGUCCUUCACGGGUAAGGCUCACCACGUGCUACAAUUGCCUGGAUAAAAGUGCAAGCGAGGUGGAAACCAAUCCGAAGGCGUCUUACUUCGGGAACUGACAAUCCCUGU